CAGUGAGCCAUGAUUGUGCCAAUGCACUCCAGCCUGGGUGAUAGAGCAAGACUCCAUCUCACAAAAAAAAAAAAAAAAAAAAAGUCAGAUGUACUCAAAGUAGAACAUACUUAUUGAUAUAUUUGUUUACCAUUUCAUUUUGACUAAUAUUUAAUAAGCACCUGGUGUUUAAUAGGCAUUGUGAUGACUAUUGUGAACCUUGGAAUACCAAGAUGCCAUUGUCCUGAUGUGUAAAGAAAGACAUUCUCCCUCUUUUCAAAAAGUCCACAUCAUAGUGAUUUCCGAGGCAAAUGAAAUACUGCGAAGAGCUUUUUACCUGAAGAUCUCUGGUAUGUUUCGUGCCUAUAAAAGCACAGACAUACGGUAAAGAAAGAAAUGAACAAAAGCUUAGCUCAUUCAGUACUCUACAGUCUACUUUUCAAAUAGACUCUGCUACUGGCCAUUAUCAUCUUAUGUGAAUGUUUCCCCAAGAAAAUGGAGAUUUUAUAGUUGAGGGUGAGGUAAAGGAGGAAAUAGCAGGUGUCUUGAUAAAUUGUGUCGGAAACCUUUGUAUGACUUUAUACCCAGGGCCAAAACUGCUACCUGAAAAUGGAGAAAUUCAGUUCUACAGGAGCUUUGCUACAAUGGAGUCACCUGAAAGAAAGAGCUUUUCAUUUGUCCAUCUAUGAGUCACUCAACAAAUGCCUAUUAGGUGGUUAUUAUGUAACAGUCGCUAUACUCAGUGCUGAAGAUGUAAUAAUGAAAAAGGCAUGGCUCUUUCCUUCAGGAAGCUUCUAAGCUCAGUAGGUAAGGCAAGCAAUCUAACGUUAUUUGAAGGAUGCUUUUUAGAUCCUCAAAUGAUUUGCAUAUCUUUACUGUACGAAAUAGGAAAACUUCCUUUAAAAUCUUGAAAAAGCCACUUCAACUUAAAAAUAGACAACUAAAGAUUUCUUUACAAAUAUGGAGGCUGGUGGGUUGCUGCCAGUAGAAAUGUUAUUUACCAAAACAGUCUUUUAUUUAGAAGGUGAGUAUGAUGUCUACAUUAGAUAAAUAGGUUCCUGGACCUGAAUAAUGAACAAAAAUAUGCAAUAACUUGAAUUUGGAACCUAUUUUUACAAAAUAUGAGAAAUAAGGAUAUGUUUACUGAAAUAGCUAAUGGGCCAGUGGCGUGGUCACACAGCUUUUCACAGACACCAGCUGGCAAGCUGUUAAGUGAUUUGCAGCGAGUUAUCAAGCAUUGCCGUUUUGAAAAUGAGAGUCUUGAUUUCUUUUGUAGUUACAUGUAAAAGAAAGGCAUCUAUCACUCAAUAGAAACCCUAAUACAGGAACUACAGUUUGACAAAGUCCUAGUGAAUCCGUAAGGUUCAGUGUAGUUGACUCAGGGUCAUAAGCCCAGGAUUUGUUUCCUGUCUUUCCUACCAAGUAGCUGUGAGACCUUGGUGAGUUGCUUCAUCUUUUUGGGUUUGUUUUCUCUCAGAAACGAAGGUAUUGGGAGAGGCGAUCUCUUCUAGCUUUGUUGUCCAUCCAGUUUCCAUCGAGGUCAGUCUGUACCACAGGGGAACAAUUUAUUCUGAGUCUGUGAACUUGGGUUGUGAAUAAUUGCACUUCCAGAAUAUGUAAAAUAUCAGAUUGUUCAAGCUUAUGUUUAAUGAUGCACUGACCCUACCUCAGGACCACUAAAUAAAAAGGGGUUAUUUUGUUCCCUCUCUAUUUUGUUUGACCACCUCUGGACUUCUGCAUCCAGGGGCAAAGCAAGGACCCAAGGCAGCUAUGUGUUCUAGCAGAAAGCUUUUUAUUACGAUUUGGCUUGACUCUGGACAAACUCUAUCUUGACUUGUAUCCCUAAGCAAACCAACAUGUAAGGAACUUUGUUUCAACACACUCCCUCAUACCUAAACCUUGCUCUCUACCCUCAAGGGACAAUGUCUACUAACUUUAUCAACUACUUUCCUCAUCUCAUUUCCAUUUCAUAACCUUCCUUCACCUUAAAGUGCACAUUUGUGAGUUCUAUAUUUUCAGCUUUCAGACAUAAAGGUUCUGUAGUGGAGUUGGUAGUGGUCUUGGCCUCUGCAGCACGCGUACACGCACGUGCCCAAACAUGACUCCUCAUCAUGUAUCUUGUUUCUGAUUGUCUCUCAUGUUUUCCAAGUGUGGUUACCAUGUGAAUGGAAAUCACUAUUGCUGCAACCAAGCCUGGGGUGUCUGUUUCUACUAAUGCUAGAGUCAUCAGACCAACCCUCCUACUAAUAAUAUCUGUAAACUCUGGACAAAAUAUUAAAAUCAUCUACUUGAAGACAACAGGGAGCAAUCAAAACCAGGCAGAAACUGGAGGGAGGUGAGCGUUUGGAAUAGGAAAGAACACUGAGUGAGUUUACCAGUUUUUGUGGCUGUUUUCUUCAGGGCUGAUCUUAGCAGCAAGCUGGCUGGCUGGAAUGCAGGUAAAAACCCGUAGUCUUCCUGGCUUGAAGACCAGAGGAGAGAGCUCUGGGAAACCGUAGCACUGGAGAGCAAAGCAAAAAAUUCCAGAAAAGGGAAAACAACAGUUGUGUGUGUUUGUGUGUCUAUGCACGUUGUCUAAACCUGUCCUCGAUAACUAAACAAUGUACCCACGGAGCCAAUUCCAGACAUCCCAGCUCACGCUCAAAGUACUGAGAAGAAAUUUCAGCUGUUUCAUACACACCUCCAAACUCCCUGCACCCCAUCCCAACUCCCACCUCACCUCUACCACACACAUCACAGGGGAACAGAAUAUGGAGUUUGAAUUCAGCCAAGUUUGCUGCCUGCUUUCAAAAUCAAUGUUCUGGAGGAAUAUAACAGAAUCCAGAGUUUAUACAAUGUAUCCUUCAUAGUGUUCAGAUGCAGUCCUAAAUUAAUGUGCAUAGGAGAAACUAGGAAAUGUGACUCAAGCUCAAGAGGACAAGCAAUCAGUAGAGACUAAUGCUGAGAUAAUCCAGCUAACAGAAUGCAAGGAUUCUAAAAGUAGCUAUUAUAGCUACGCUCAAGGAUAUAAAGGAAAAUAUAUCACAGUGAGUUAGCAAAUAGAACAUUAAUCAGAAAUAGAAACAAAAAGAGCCAAGAGGAUCUGAAAAAUAAAAUAUCCAAAGUGAAAAAUUCACUGGAUGAGUUUGUAACAUGAAUUGGAUUUAAAGAGAAUGGACUUGAAAUUAAAUAGGUACUAUCUAAUCUCAAGAAUGCAGAGAAAAUAUAUUUUUUUAAUUAAUACACAGUGUGUGGGACAAUGUCAAAAGUCUUUCAUAUGUGAAAGAAAUACAUUUAUUUGCAUGUUUUAGAAGCUCAUGAAUCCUAAGUAAGAUAAAUAUAAAGAAAAUCACGCCUGAAAUUAUUACAUACAGUAAUUCCUCACUGAAUAUCUUUAACAAGUUAUUGAAAACUGAGACUUUAAGUAAAAGGCCUACAGCGAGUCCUUGAAGAAGAUUAUUUUGUUCAACUUUGUUUUGCUGAUGAGAAAAAAAAUGGUUUUCUUAUACAUUGUUUCAUUAAAGUCACAAUUUCUAAGAAUAUAUUGACAACAUUAAGUGAGAACUUACUGUACAUAAUUGUCAAAUUGCUGAAGACCAAAGAGAAAAAGGAAAUCUUGAAAGCAGCCAGAGAAGAAUUAUUUACUAAAUAAUUAUAUAGAUGCCAUGACAUAUUAUAUGGAUGUCAAUGACAAUAUGAAUUAUAACUGAUUUCUCAUUAAAACAAAAAACUAAAUCCAGAAUUGAGUGAAACUCUUUACUGCAAGGAAAAAAAGUCUGUUAAUCAGUGAAAAUAUUCUUCAAGAAUAAAGGUGUAAUAAUAACAUUUUAAAAUAAAUGAAAACUAAAGAAUUUGUUGCCAGUACAUCUGUAUGACCGGAAAUGCUGAAAGAAGUUGUUCAGGCUAUACUGAAAUACCAGAUAAAAAAUUAGAUGUUAAGAAAGAUGGAAAAUGACCAGGAAUGACAAAUUCAUGUAUUAGCAUAACAUGCUUUCUUUGUUCUUAAUUUCUUUAAAAUACAUACAAUUUUUAUGCCUCCUUUAAGAAACUGAGACAUACCCAGGUACUUGGGAGGCUGAGGUGGGAAGAUGGUUUGAGCCUGGGAGGUGGAAUUUGCCGUGAGCCGAGAUUGUGCCAUUGCACUCCAGCUUGAGGAACAGAGCCAGAACCUGUCUCCAAAAAAAACCAGAGAAAUG